CAGAGUAACUAAUAGACCCAAUGACGAUACCUUUCUCACUUACACAAGAAAGAGAGCGAAAAUACCAUAACAAAUGCAUAAGACAAAGACACAAAUACACAAUUUUUUGUCCCUUAGUGUGUAACCUGUUUUUCAAGAUCCGCAACUUGAGUUGCGAAACAAACUUUGACAGUUCGUGCCUUCAUCGUGCUUGGUGUUCGAAUUUUGGAUAUUAUUUAGUAAAAAAUCGAUACGAGUACAUUGAAAAGACGGUGAAAUUAUCUUAAUAUAGACAUCGAAGUAAAUAGAAUGGUGCGUUGUCGUGUUAUUGCAUGUAUAAGCGAUAGUGAGAAGAAAAUUGCCGGUGUGUCUUUUCACGCAUGAUCCAGACCUACGUAAUUAAUGGAUCGAAGUGGUAGAAAAGAUUGGAUUCUCACAAAAUAUUGUAAAAUAUGAACAAGCCAAUGAAAAAGUAAGAAAUGUGUUUCGUCAUCAAUAAUCAAUCUGCUUAUAUUUUUUGUAUCUACUAAAUUGAUUAUAAAGACAAAAGAAAAAUCUCA